rnacentral:rRNA from 1 species
GAGUUUGAUCAUGGCUCACGAUGAACGCUAGCUACAGGCUUAACACAUGCAAGUCGAGGGGCAGCAUGUUGGUUGCUUGCAACCAAUGAUGGCGACCGGCGCACGGGUGAGUAACGCGUAUCCAACCUACCCUUGUCCAUCGGAUAACCCGUCGAAAGGCGGCCUAACACGAUAUGCGGUUCUCAGCAGGCAUCUAACGAGAACGAAAUGUGAAGGAGAAGGAUGGGGAUGCGUCUGAUUAGCUUGUUGCGGGGUAACGCCACAAGGCGACGAUCAGUAGGGGUUCUGAGAGGAAGGUCCCCCCANAUUGGAACUGAGACACGGUCCAAACUCCUACGGGAGGCA